GACGAACGCUGGCGGCGUGCUUAACACAUGCAAGUCGAACGGUAAGGCCCUUCGGGGUACACGAGUGGCGAACGGGUGAGUAACACGUGGGUGAUCUGCCCUGCACUUCGGGAUAAGCCUGGGAAACUGGGUCUAAUACCGGAUAGGACCCUGGGAUGCAUGUCCUGGGGUGGAAAGCUUUUGCGGUGUGGGAUGGGCCCGCGGCCUAUCAGCUUGUUGGUGGGGUGAUGGCCCACCAAGGCGACGACGGGUAGACGGCCUGAGAGGGUUACCAGCCACACUGGGACUGAGAUACGGCCCAGACUCCUACGGGAGGGAGCAGUGGGGAAUAUUGCGCAAUGGGCGCAAGCCUGAUGCAGCGACGCCGCGUGCGGGAGGACGGCCUUCGGGUUGUAAACCUCUUUCAGCACCGACGAAGCGCAAGUGACGGUAGGUGCAGAAGAAGGACCGGCCAACUACGUGCCAGCCGCCGCGGUAA
rnacentral:rRNA from 1 species